UACAGAGGGGGCAAGCGUUGUUCGGAAUUACUGGGCGUAAAGCGCACGUAGGCGGAUUGUUAAGUCAGGGGUGAAAUCCUGGAGCUCAACUCCAGAACUGCCUUUGAUACUGACGGUCUUGAGUUCGGAAGAGGUGAGUGGAAUUCCUGGUGUAGCGGUGAAAUGCGCAGAUAUCAGGAGGAACACCGAUGGCGAAGGCAGCUCACUGGGACGGUACUGACGCUGAGGCGCGAAAGCGUGGGGAGCAAACAGG
rnacentral:rRNA from 1 species